CACGUAUUUAGCCGGUGCUUCUUACUCAGGUACCGUCAUUUUUCUUCCCUGCUGAUAGAGCUCUACAUACCGAAAUACUUCUUCGCUCACGCGGCGUCGCUGCAUCAGGGUUUCCCCCAUUGUGCAAUAUUCCCCACUGCUGCCUCCCGUAGGAGUUUGGGCCGUGUCUCAGUCCCAAUGUGGCCGGCCACCCUCUCAGGUCGGCUACUGAUCGUCGCCUUGGUGGGCCUCUCCCCCGCCAACUAGCUAAUCAGACGCGGGCCCAUCCCAUACCACCGGAGUUUUUCACACCAGGCCAUGCGGCCCUUGUGCGCUUAUGCGGUUUUAGCAGCCGUUUCCGGCUGUUAUCCCCCUGUAUGGGGCAGGUUGCCCACGCGUUACUCACCCGUCCGCCACUCAGUCACAAUUUCUUCUUCCCCGAAGGAAAUCUAAAAAAAGUGACUUCGUUCGACUUGCAUGUGUUAAGCACGCCGCCAGCGUUCAUCCUGUAGCCAGGAUACAAACUACUA
rnacentral:rRNA from 1 species